CCCACAUUUUACUACUAUAAAUGAUCGAGAAUAUUUCUUUGAGCUUUCAGUAUAAUUUUACAAAUUAUUAGAAACAUACAUAUAAAUUCUCGGAUUAUUUGUUUAUUAAAAGCAAGCACAAUGGAUAACAAAGUUGUAAUAAAGGAAAAUGCCACUAAUAUCGCCAAUAAAUUGCUCAAUGAAUAUCCAAACCUGAAAAUAUUUUUGGAACUUUUAGUAAAAAACAUUGUUGUUGAAACCAAAGUAGUUGGCAGAAAAUUUCAAUAUCCCAGUGGUAUAAUAAAAAAUAAUCUUUCUAGAAAUUAUGGCUUAUUUAUGGAUUAUUUUAUACGUAAACUGCUGUCCAAUCAAUUUCAAACUAAACUAACAGAUGAAGUCACCGAGCUGGUUCUAAAAGAUUCGGAUACUUAUUUUAAAGACAAUGAAAAAGAUCGCACCUUGCAAAACGAUAUCCAACAGCAUUAUUUAAUUUACAAAGAUUCUCAAAAACGAGCAAUGGAUAUUUUAAAAAGCAUUAAAAUAGUUUCUUUAUCGGUUUCAUUGUCAUUUCACGAUCCACUGCCAGAAGCUGAAAUCGAGACCGACAACAUUGCUCUACUCGAGGUUAUAAAAUACUUUCAAAAACUUCGUUACUCAGGAGUCGAAAUGAAAGCAGCAACUGAUUGUGAAUAUUUUGAGGGCAAUGCUGAUCUGAUCUUUGAUCAAAAAGUGCUGUAUGAAAUAAAAACUUCUAAAUUUAAGUCACUUGCGCGUAAUGAUAAACUGAUCCAUGUGAGACAUUUCUACAAACUGAUUUUGUAUGGAUUUGGUUAUUAUAAGAAAACGGGUAAAAUAAUAAAAUGUUUUAAGAUUUACAAUCCUUUAUUGGGUUAUGAGUAUACACUACAGCUCGACGAUAUUGAUAUGGAACUUUUUGAGAAAGCACUCAAAAAAGAUGUAGGAAAAAAUAUAAAAACUAAAUGAAAAGAUUUUUUAUUAUUUUACAAGACCAACAUUCAUAUUAUUUAAUUUUAACAUCUAUUACUUAUUGAAAUAAAUUUUUUAAAAUACAAAAA